GCCAUUUUUUCUGAGUGUUAGUUUUAAAUAGACUAUUGACAAAUUACAGAUUUUUUUCAUGUAUUGAAAUUAUAUUCCAGAUGAUUUUGAGAUUUACUGGUAUAAUAUUCUCCUCAUGAGGUAGGAUGGAAGGGAAGGAAUAGAGAAAAAAUGUUCUGCUCUGAAAUGAAUGUGGUGUUUCCUGACAGCAUUUGUCAAGUUAGGAUGUCCUUCUCCUGCCCUUGGACAUCAGAACUCCAGAUUCUCUGGCUCUUGAACUUUGGGACUUGGAGGAGCAUCCUCAUUUCCUUCCCUGGGUUCUUUGGCUUUUGGCCGCAGACUGAGAACUACACCAUCAGCUGCCUGGUUCUGGUGCUUUUAGACUUGGACUGAGUUCUCCAGUUUGCAGACACCCUAUCAUGGGCCUUCUCAGACUCCAUAAUUGUAUCAUCAAACUCCAAACAGUCAUGCAAUGGGAGCCUCUGAUGAUUGUCCUUUCUGCUGGGAACUCUUAGAUCGGCCUCUGAAAGAGCUCUGACUGCUGUUUCCCCAGAACAACACCCCCUGGCAGCAGGAAGCAGUUAAUAUUGGUCUUCGUCCUUAUCCUUAUGCUAACGACAGUUAGAUGUACUUCUUUAGAGGGGCGAAUGAGACAGCCAGAUGGGCGGGGGUCCCUGGAGAAACUCCAUCCAGCCUGCUCACUGAAGUGGAGCCUCGGGAAGGUUCCACCUGUGCAGCAGGGAGGAUCCUGGCCCCUCCUCUUCCUCUGUGGAACUUGGGAUUCGAGCUGAGGGUGGGAAGCACUCAAGCUUGAGACUCUAGCUUUGCAGAGAUUCCCUGCUUACCCCUUUUUUUCUUUUUCACCCAAUAAAAUC